UGCGUGCAUUGUUUGAAAGUCAAUCCGAAGCCGAACGCCUAUAAAAGGCCCGCAGACCUUUAGUUCUGUCUCUUUUUGCACUUGGACUUCGAGGACUUUGCAAAACGACCUAACCGCUGGAAAGCUGCGAUCUUUGGAGAGCUAAAGCUUGAAAGCAUCUGAACUACCAACCUUUGGAAGAAGAAACUCGUCGGAUCCGAUAAAAGAAGAAGAAGAAGAAGAAGAAGGGACCUAAUCUUCAGGAGAGACCACCAGUCAGAGAGGAUCACCUGCUAUUCAGAGGACAGCAGACCCUAGAGUCAGCAUGCCGAGCGAUCCACGCCGCCCACGCGAGGGCCCCUCAGCUCGCUGGGCUCCAGCUACCAGGCCCCCAGUUCACAGUCACGCCUCUCGCUGGCCUGAACGUAUCUGGGCUGCAGCUGGCAGUGUCGUGACUGUCUUUGACCAAUGUCCCCGGAAUGCGGAUCCCCAGCUUGCGGCUCGCUGGCUCAGACUCGUCUGGUUGGCAGCUCGUAGGGUGGCGGCUCUGUGGCUUCUCAGGAGUGAGCGCCGCCUUCGGAGGCGCUUUGCUCGCCGGCUCGCAUGCUUGUUGGGUGGAAGCUCUGGGGUGGAGGCUUGUGGGGUGGCUGCUGACUGGUUUGUACCCAGCCUGGCUGAGCUCCGGUUGGUAUUAGCUCAGUGGGUCUCAGAUCAGUGGCUGUCAGCUCGCAGGCUUGCAACUGAACACUGUCCUGAGUCACUGCUGCCCACGAGUCCUCCACCUCUGCGCUUCUAGCUGCUUUUAGCUGCCCUCCAAGCUUCGGGGACUAGGGCAAGAUUUCUGGGGGGGUAAAUCUGGUAGCUGGAGAAAGGUAAGUAUUAGUUGUGUGGUCUCCUCACUGCCAGAGGAGUUGUAUGCCACACAGAUUCCCAGCUUGCUGCAUCUUGCAAUGUAAGUAUUAUGUCGAGAAAAAAGGUGAGUUUCAUGCUGAUUUGACACUCUUCAUGCUGUGGGUGUCUCAUUGAUAUUUUUAAGACAACAGCAGUCAAACAAGCUCCCAAAAACAAUGUCAUUUUUUAAAAAAAAAACUAGAUCAGAUUCUGCCGUGUUGUUUUCUUUGUUUUCUUUCAGGAGAGAUGUUGAAUGACUCCAUGACUCCAGGACAGGAAAGAGGGCCCAGUGUGACGACGAGGGACAGAAGCCACCAUGAGUGAACCCUGAGAGGAUAAGGAAGAGGAACAUUAUAGAGAGCAUGGAGCUGGCGCAGGACCUCUGCUGCGCUUCCUUCACCCCAACCGGUCGAGGCAGAUGGCCGCCCUCCCUGAGCCUGGUUCUGCCGGAGGUUUUUCCCUCCCUGUUAUCAGGGAGUUUUUUUCCUCCCCACUGUCGCCUAGUGCUUGCUCAAAGGGAAUCCAAAUAAAACUGGAUUUGUUGGGUUUCUCUGUUGAUAAUUGUUUUGAUUAAACUGUCAAAAAGAGAGAACUUAAAAUAAAAACUCUGUUUCUUAUAAA